AGAAGAGAAGGCGGGUUUUCCGGGUGCCGUGGUGCCGGUUUCGCUUAGUAGCUGAGUAGGCUUGAAUGGUCCUGUGUGCUGUGUUCUCUGUCCUGCCUCUGGAUGCUGUGGAGGGUGCUCAGGCAAGCUCCGAAGUUGCGACAUGCUUCUAAGCCUCGUGGUUGAUACCUCUGGAGAUACGUGUCAGCCCGGAGCUCUGCCAUUAAACUACCUCAUGUGUUUGCAUCAAGACGGUCUCUCAUGAUUCUUUGGGUGCGCGCUAUCUCGUGACUUGAGUGGGGGUAUCCCCAUGGAGGUCUUUCAUUUGGAGGUUCCACCAAGAUCUGCGUGACACCCAGGAACCCCGAAGACCCCUUGGAGGCUUUGGCAGUUCCAGAGUGCCUCUUGUUAGCAGAAAAAGUGCUUUCACUUUGAGAUGUCAGUGGCCCAGCUGGGCUCCUUUCGCUGCCCCAUGUGUCUUAUCAGGAGGCUCUGCCCUGAGCUGCUGGCAGUGAGUCUGCUCCAAGUUCCAUCGAGGGAGACAUCUGCCCACUUGGGGCUUCUCCUGCCCAAGGAUGCAUUGACCUAUGAUGAUGUGCAUGUGAACUUCACUCGAGAAGAAUGGGCUUUGCUGAAUCCUACACAGAGGAAUCUCUACAAAGUUGUGAUGUUGGAGAUCUACAGGAACCUCAAAGCUGUAGGAUACAAUUGGGAAGACCAAAACACUGAAGAACAUUGUCAAAGUUCCAGAAGACAUGGAAGGUAUAUCCUGUGUCACAAUGGAUACAAGCCAUGUGAGCAUAGGGAUAUUGAAAGAAGCAGAACCUUCUCUCUCUCUCAAAACAAUUAAAAUAUAUGUAAUAGUCCACAUUUGAGCAAACUUUGUGAUACAAGUUUAUAAUUAGUUGGCUCUCCAACUUCAGUGGGAAUAUAUCCAUAAACUCACUGCAGAAAAUCCCUAUCAAUACUAGGAUUGUGGAAAUUCUUUUAUGUUUGUCCUGGUUUAUUAUGUCAUUGUAGUAUAUUUCAUAAUAUAGGAAAAUUUAUGAAUAUACCCAGUGUGGUAAAGCUCUGAGCUCUUCUAUUUCUCUUGAAAUAUGUGAAAAACCUCAUAGAGAAAAAGGAUGUAAAAAAUCUUAAGAUGUGAGUUGUCUUUACAAUUAGACCAAAUUGUAAGAUUAAUUCCUACAGAUAAAAAGAAUCAUCAAUGUUGUGAAUGUGGUAAAGCUUUCACAUGUGCCAAUUAUCUUUGCAGGCAUGAAAGAAGUCAUACUGGAGAAAAACCCUCUGAAAAUACUCAAUGUGGUAAAGCCUUUGCAAAUCAAAGUCAUGUCCAUGUACAUAAAAGAAUACAUACUGGAGAGAAACCCUA
rnacentral:lncRNA from 1 species